rnacentral:tRNA from 1 species
GAGGGUACAGCUCAGUGGUAGAGUGCCUGCUUAGCAUGCAGGAAGUCCUGGAUUCAGUCUAAGUACCUCCA